ACUAAGCGUACACGGUGGAUGCCCUGGCAGUCAGAGGCGAUGAAGGACGUGCUAAUCUGCGAAAAGCGCCGGCGAGGUGAUAUGAACCUUUGACCCGGCGAUGUCCGAAUGGGGAAACCCAGUGUGUUCCGACACACUAUCGUUAACUGAAUACAUAGGUUAACGAGGCGAACCGGGGGAACUGAAACAUCUAAGUACCCCGAGGAAAAGAAAUCAACCGAGAUUCCCCCAGUAGCGGCGAGCGAACGGGGAGCAGCCCGGAGUCUGAAUCAGCUUGUGUGUUAGUGGAACGGUCUGGAAAGUCCGACGGUACAGGGUGAUAGUCCCGUACACGAAAAUGCACAUGCUGUGAACUCGAAGAGUAGGGCGGGACACGUGGUAUCCUGUCUGAAUAUGGGGGGACCAUCCUCCAAGGCUAAAUACUCCUGACUGACCGAUAGUGAACCAGUACCGUGAGGGAAAGGCGAAAAGAACCCCGGCGAGGGGAGUGAAAAAGAACCUGAAACCGUGUACGUACAAGCAGUGGGAGCACCUUCGGGUGUGACUGCGUACCUUUUGUAUAAUGGGUCAGCGACUUAUAUUCUGUAGCAAGGUUAACCGUAUAGGGGAGCCGAAGGGAAACCGAGUCUUAACUGGGCGUUAAGUUGCAGGGUAUAGACCCGAAACCCGGUGAUCUAGCCAUGGGCAGGUUGAAGGUUGGGUAACACUAACUGGAGGACCGAACCGACUAAUGUUGAAAAAUUAGCGGAUGACCUGUGGCUGGGGGUGAAAGGCCAAUCAAACCGGGAGAUAGCUGGUUCUCCCCGAAAGCUAUUUAGGUAGCGCCUCGUGAACUCAUCUUCGGGGGUAGAGCACUGUUUCGGCUAGGGGGCCAUCCCGGCUUACCAACCCGAUGCAAACUACGAAUACCGAAGAAUGUUAUCACGGGAGACACACGGCGGGUGCUAACGUCCGUCGUGAAGAGGGAAACAACCCAGACCGCCAGCUAAGGUCCCAAAGUCAUGGUUAAGUGGGAAACGAUGUGGGAAGGCACAGACAGCCAGGAUGUUGGCUUAGAAGCAGCCAUCAUUUAAAGAAAGCGUAAUAGCUCACUGGUCGAGUCGGCCUGCGCGGAAGAUGUAACGGGGCUAAACCAUGCACCGAAGCUGCGGCAGCGACACUAUGUGUUGUUGGGUAGGGGAGCGUUCUGUAAGCCGUUGAAGGUGUGCUGUGAGGCAUGCUGGAGGUAUCAGAAGUGCGAAUGCUGACAUAAGUAACGAUAAAGCGGGUGAAAAGCCCGCUCGCCGGAAGACCAAGGGUUCCUGUCCAACGUUAAUCGGGGCAGGGUGAGUCGACCCCUAAGGCGAGGCCGAAAGGCGUAGUCGAUGGGAAACAGGUUAAUAUUCCUGUACUUGGUGUUACUGCGAAGGGGGGACGGAGAAGGCUAUGUCAGCCGGGCGACGGUUGUCCCGGUUUAAGCAUGUAGGCGGAGGUUCCAGGUAAAUCCGGUACCUUAUUAACGCUGAGGUGUGAUGACGAGGCACUACGGUGCUGAAGUGAUAAAUGCCCUGCUUCCAGGAAAAGCCUCUAAGCAUCAGGUAACACGAAAUCGUACCCCAAACCGACACAGGUGGUCAGGUAGAGAAUACCAAGGCGCUUGAGAGAACUCGGGUGAAGGAACUAGGCAAAAUGGUGCCGUAACUUCGGGAGAAGGCACGCUGAUAUGUAGGUGAAGCCCCUGCGGGCGGAGCUGAAAUCAGUCGAAGAUACCAGCUGGCUGCAACUGUUUAUUAAAAACACAGCACUGUGCAAACACGAAAGUGGACGUAUACGGUGUGACGCCUGCCCGGUGCCGGAAGGUUAAUUGAUGGGGUUAGCGGCAACGCGAAGCUCUUGAUCGAAGCCCCGGUAAACGGCGGCCGUAACUAUAACGGUCCUAAGGUAGCGAAAUUCCUUGUCGGGUAAGUUCCGACCUGCACGAAUGGCGUAAUGAUGGCCAGGCUGUCUCCACCCGAGACUCAGUGAAAUUGAACUCGCUGUGAAGAUGCAGUGUACCCGCGGCAAGACGGAAAGACCCCGUGAACCUUUACUAUAGCUUGACACUGAACACUGGUCCUUGAUGUGUAGGAUAGGUGGGAGGCUUUGAAGCGUGGACGCCAGUCUGCGUGGAGCCGCCCUUGAAAUACCACCCUUUAAUGGCUGGUGUUCUAACGUAGACCCGUGAUCCGGGUUGCGGACAGUGUCUGGUGGGUAGUUUGACUGGGGCGGUCUCCUCCCAAAGAGUAACGGAGGAGCACGAAGGUUGGCUAAUCCUGGUCGGACAUCAGGAGGUUAGUGCAAUGGCAUAAGCCAGCUUGACUGCGAGCGUGACGGCGCGAGCAGGUGCGAAAGCAGGUCAUAGUGAUCCGGUGGUUCUGAAUGGAAGGGCCAUCGCUCAACGGAUAAAAGGUACUCCGGGGAUAACAGGCUGAUACCGCCCAAGAGUUCAUAUCGACGGCGGUGUUUGGCACCUCGAUGUCGGCUCAUCACAUCCUGGGGCUGAAGUAGGUCCCAAGGGUAUGGCUGUUCGCCAUUUAAAGUGGUACGCGAGCUGGGUUUAGAACGUCGUGAGACAGUUCGGUCCCUAUCUGCCGUGGGCGCUGGAGAAUUGAGGGGGGCUGCUCCUAGUACGAGAGGACCGGAGUGGACGCAUCACUGGUGUUCGGGUUGUCAUGCCAAUGGCACUGCCCGGUAGCUAAAUGCGGAAGAGAUAAGUGCUGAAAGCAUCUAAGCACGAAACUUGCCCCGAGAUGAGUUCUCCCUGAGACCUUGAGUCUCCUGAAGGAACGUUGAAGACGACGACGUUGAUAGGUCGGGUGUGUAAGCGCAGCGAUGCGUUGAGCUAACCGAUACUAAUGAACCGUGAGGCUUAACC
rnacentral:rRNA from 1 species